rnacentral:rRNA from 1 species
UGGGGAAUAUUGGACAAUGGACCGAGAGUCUGAUCCAGCAAUUCUGUGUGCACGAUGAAGUUUUUCGGAAUGUAAAGUGCUUUCAGUUGGGAAGAAAAAAAUGACGGUACCAACAGAAGAAGUGACGGCUAAAUACGUGCCAGCAGCCGCGGUAAUACGUAUGUCACGAGCGUUAUCCGGAUUUAUUGGGCGUAAAGCGCGUCUAGGUGGUUAUGUAAGUCUGAUGUGAAAAUGCAGGGCUCAACUCUGUAUUGCGUUGGAAACUGUAUAACUAGAGUACUGGAGAGGUAAGCGGAACUACAAGUGUAGAGGUGAAAUUCGUAGAUAUUUGUAGGAAUGCCGAUGGGGAAGCCAGCUUACUGGACAGAUACUGACGCUGAAGCGCGAAAGCGUGGGUAGCAAACAGG